CGGGGACUUUCCCCCCCCCCCCCAGCCACACCGGCUUCUCCUCCAGCAUCGCCACGUUUACGGCCCGGAGCUCGUCAGCUAAUAACUAUGUCAAGAUCCCCAUUCUGGUGGUACCAGAAGACGCUGUGGUGACGGACGAGAAGCCGCCGGUUCACGGGCUGUUGGAGUUCUCCAUGCCCUGCGUGGGCACCAUCCAGCACGACCCCGACUGCGCCCGGCACGUCUGGUCGAUGAGAUUCUACGCGGUAGACGCGGAGAGUUCGGUGACCGUCCGGGUGAAGCCCAACCCAUCGGGGCUCACCUGCCGCCCGCAGGGAGCCAGCGCGGACAAGGGCCUCGUGUGCGACUAU